UAAUAAAUGCCUCUUAUAGAAAUAGUCUGGAGAAUAAGUAGAUUUGCUGCCUGUGGGGAAAAUUAAACUUUAGGAGAUUUAAACAAUGCAGUCAGGGUCUUCUAAGCCUGAGUCUAUGUUUCUUGCUGGGGUUCUAUCAUGGAGAACUCCUCAGUUUGAAAAGCUAGUGUUCUAGUGACUGCUCUGAAUUCUUUCAGAUUUCAUGAACAAGCUGACUUGCAUCUGCAGUGGUCCAGAUACUGUAGCUUUGUUUCUUUGCUUGCUUGGUUGGUUGGUUGGCUUUUGUCCUUGUUGCUGUUGUUGCUUUCCACAGAUUUUAGUAUCUACAGCAGGGUCAUUGCUCUUGUGGCUGUUUCCUAGUUCCCUGACCACAUCAUGGUUUGGCUCUUGUGUUCCUAAGUUUGUACCAUCACCUGUCUCUUCCUGUCUAAUUGAAGAGUCUAAACAGUGGCUUCUUACAGAGUCCCCAGCCUAAGCCAACAAAGCAGGCUUGGCCCUAGGUAGAGACUGCUACUCAACUGCCUGUUCCUUUAUUGCCACCUUUCACCUCUCUGUGAAUAAAUGCAGACCCUAGAUAGAGGCAAGACCCAAACAACAUGACAGGGAACCCGAAGCCUGAAAUGUCAGCAUCAACUCCAACGCCUGACCUGUUGCCUACCAAGGCAAUUCUUAGAAUAAAUUAUGCAAAUGGCUGCAGGUCCUGGUUCUAUGUUCCUUUGAAGUUCCAACUUUCCAUGGCUUUGGGUACUCUUGACAGGGUAUGAGAUGGAUACUUCAGGGCUAACAUUAAUGAUGUGAGGGAUGCUCUCAUGAGUCCAUCAUCUACUCUGUGACAUGUGCACAGUGCUUGGUCUGUAGACUCCUUUGUGAGCAUCAUAUUGCUUUGCUCCCUCCAACUCCUCAGCUUCCUUCAUCGCUCUUUUCUUUCUCUUCACCUUGACUUAUGGGUCUGCUGGACUUUUUCAUAUAGCAUCUGGUCAAUGUGUUCUCGUAGCUAGUGAAUUGUAGGGAUACAUAAAUGGAGAAAUGGAAAAUAUUGAUCAGCUUCGUAUAAAGCCUGCCAAAAUUGUCUUCAGCCCUUCUCACUUUCCUCAAAUUCCAGGGACAUAAACUGAUGAAUCAUGGGUUCCAACAGGCAUCUGAAAUCCAGGACUCAUGCCCCACUUAGUGUCUGCUGUCAGUGGGGAGGGUCUCAACUUCUAUAAAAAGGCAACAUUCCCAAAGAAAAAAAAUGCUAUUUUUGCAUAUUCCAUUUUUAGCUUUCUUGGUCUUAUGUCCCCCAGUGAUUAACUUGUGCUUUAUAAGAAAGAGUAAUUGAUCUAUUUUCUCUCUUUGCCAUGGAGCCGUCUUUUCUCAAGGUUAAGUUACAGCUUUCAAACAUUCUCUUACCUGUCCCCCUUUCUAGGCCUUUGAAGGAAAAGAAAUGAAAUGACAUCACAUGUCAGGCAGAGAAAGACCAAGUGAAAUUAUUUCCAACCCUCUAAACAAAACAAACAAACAAACAAACAAACAAACAAAACAACACCCCCACCCCUGAUACUCAAAGUGUAUAUUUCCAGCCAGAUUUCUCAGUAUGUGCCUCUUGUUGGCAGGAAUAUUGGGUCAAAUGUCACUGGGGCAUCUGGCUAUGUGGGUUCUGUGUUGAUUCCAGAAAUUACAGCUUAGGGGCCUUAGGUCACUCAUUGAACCCCUUUGAAUCUUGAUGUUGUCACAUGCAAUAUGGGGUAUAGAGUGUGAUGAAACAAAGCUAUCUGAUGUUGUUGGGCUGCACACAGGAAAUGCCUGACAAGUGCUUAGCACAAAAAGUAGUGGAGAAUUAGCACGCAGGCAUAACUGGCUGCAAUGGCUGCUCUUCUGUCUCCUUCUUCCUUCCGUUCUUGUAUGCCCCUGGGGCAAACCUUUCCUCGUCCCGAGGUUUCUGUAUCUCAGACUUAAUGAUGGUGAGAGUGGUAGUGAUGCUUCAUCCAAGUUCAUUUAAAGUUUUAGCUAGAUACAAAAAUAAAUGAAAAACCAGACUGUGUCAAUUGGUUGUUAGUUACGACAAAAUGAUCACUAGUAGUUUCUCUAAAAUCAAAAUAUUAGAAUUUCCCUUUAAUCCUAGCACUUGGGAGGCAGAGGAAGGCAGAUCUCUGUCACUUCAAGGCCGUUCUGGUCUGCAUAGUGAGUUCCAGAAUGGCUAGGGCUACAUAGAAACAUCCUGUCUCAAAGAAACAAUCAAAUUAUAACAACAAAAAGAACCGUCUUAAAAUAUUGCUGUAUUUAUAGGUUGCUGGCAGAGCUAUGAUGAGAUCAGAGGGAAGUGUUUGUAAACAUUUGUCAUGUAUUCAGUGUCUUUCCAUGGAAGAUGCACGGGUUGCUUAUUUUUACAUAUGUCUUAUAUACUAGGGCCUUUCCUCCUAGCCUAAUCUUCCUUUGCAGGCUCCUAGGAUGCUAACAGCGAGAUGGAUCUCCCUUAGUCCUCUCUCAGAAGCUGCAUUGGUUAAAAGGAGAGAUGCUGGUAGAGAGAGGGGAUGUUGGUGCCUGUAAGAAGGGAUGCUAGCGUCCUUUAAGGAGGGAUGCUGCUGGUUGUACCAGAUAUAAGUAGGUUCUUUGUUCUGAAAUUCUAAUAUCUGCCUCUCUUCUCCUUCCAAAAUAGCACACGCAACAAGUAUUGCCAUUUGGAGUUACUUCAACCAACUUUUGAUGGUAUUAGAGUAACAUUAGCUGAUAUUUGAAAGCAAAAAUAGAAUCUGAGUUUGGUGCAGAAGAAAAGCCAGUGCAUAAGGCAGGGGAGAAGUGUCAAAGAUAAACUGCUUGUUUUAUAGGUUUUCCUGAGCUAAUUCCCAUGCAGCUCCAUCACUAGGUCUGCUUAAGCUACAGUCUAUAUAUAGUACACUGCCUUUGUCCUUAACAAAUGUGAACUGUCUAAUCACACUGGCUCUUAGUCUGGCUUUUCUCACUAAUUGGGAUGAACCUAAUCCAUAUAAGAUGCAGUAUUCCUCUGAGUGUCCCAUAACUACUCUACUGUUCCUGCUGAUGGGGAAAAGUCUCCUGACUGGAAAAGUAAAGGCUCAAGGUUGCCUCUCUCUGUCUCUGAAGCAAGAGCCCUUUUCCCUUCUCACAGCCAAUGGGUGUCCACGGUGGAAGGGUUUUGCAGAGCCAGCAACCUAGUCAGGUCCCCUCCUAAACCUCCACCCAGUGUGGCAAUAGAGUUCUUUUUAGCAGGGUGACUCAGUUUGUACUCAUGUCCAUACCCACCAGAACCACUGCAUAUUUCCCAAAAAACAUUAAAUUAAGGGGUUAUACAAGCCAUUACCCAUAGUCAUCAAAACAGCAAUUAACUCAAUAACCGUGACAUUAAGCCAGCUGUUUCCCUGGGGAAUGCUUGGGUCAGCCAUGAACUGCCAUGAAAUAAAAGUCAAUAUUGUACAUGAAAAUAUAAAUAUAAUUAUAAUUAUAGGGCAGUGACAUGUCAAAGAUCAAAGUAGCUCUCUUUCAGAGAGGAAGAUCAUGAGGAUAAAAAAAAAAAGGAGAGUAUUUCCUGGAUGGAAGACUAUUUCUUCAAAUGUGAGUUACUCCCUAUGUUGUUUAUUAUUUCAUGGAUUACAUGAUAUAUUUAACGUACUAAACAAACAUUUCUGGGGGUUGGAGAGAUGGUUCAGUGGUUAAGGGCACUGGUUGAUCUUCCAGAGGACCCAGGCUCAAUUCCCAGCACCCACAUGGCAGCUCACAACUGUCUGUAACCCCAGUUACAGGGGAUCUGACACCCUCACACAGAUAUACAUGCAGACAAAACAUCAGUACACAUCAAAUAAAAAUAUAUAAAUAUAUAAACCAAGGAAAGAAGAAGAAGCACUUCUUAUUAAGCAAAGGCUAAGACAUUUGGAAAUGAGAAUAUAGAAAACAAUGCUAAUCAUGUUAUACAAAGUUCUACAAACUUGUCCGUACAGUUGUUCUCCUUUAAAUUGAAUUAAAUUGUAUUUGACAGAAACACAUAAAAAGCUAAUUUGUUGCAUAUCUGUAUAAACUUAAAAAUGUUUUCUGUCCUUCCAGUUUUUUGAUCCGUUCAUUUAAUGAUUAGGACCUAUGCUUUAUUCCUUCAGAGUACAUCACCCUUUACUCAAUCAAUAUACAGCAAUAAGGCAAGGCUUUUCCAGCCUUGGGGAAAUGGGGACCUCAAAGGCUGCUACCACUCAAGAAUUUAGAAAGAAAUGUUUGUUUAUCUGAUCAUAAAAUUAGAAGUACAUAGAAUAUUUUUUUUGAAAAUACUGAAAAGUAAAGGUGGCCAGUACAGUGUGAUUCUGCUGACACCAUUACUCGCACACACCGAUGGACUUCUUGCUUUUCUUGUACGUAUGCAUUUCUUAAAUCAUUUGAUUCCAACUAUGAUAGAUAUUCUUAUAGCCAACUUUGGUUUACAUGUCAUUAGUGGCAUCUCAGUUUUGAACUUUUCAUUGAAAAAUCUUCAAUACAAGUGCAUCAGACUUAUAAUACUCCUUGGGGUUUUUUUUUGUUUUAUUUUGUUUUUUUACUAAUGAUGUUUCAACUAAUAUUUUAGUAUAUUAAGCUUUGAUUUUAUGCUUAUUUCUUUUUGAAUUCUUAGAAAGACUGUCAAUUUAUUUAUUUAGACCUCUUACGUAUUGCCAAUUGUGUUUAAACAGAUGGUCCUAAACCUUAUGUAUUGUUAUUUCUGGGCACCCCAGUACAUCUUCCGUUACACCUUUCUUGCUGGGGUACUUCUCAGAUUUGGCUUCCUACUAGAACCAACACAGAGCACUAAAUAUAUCUAUAGUUGACCUUUGUCCUAAACCAAUGAAGCUGGAAUUUCUGAGAAAAGUAGGGGAACUAAGGAGUUAGUAACUUUGAAAGAACUCAAAUGAGAUUAGCUGGGUAAAAUGGCAAUAUUAACCAAGCCUGGUAGCGCACGCCUGAAAUCCCAACACUCUGGAGACAGAGCCAUGAAGACAGUAAGUCAGAGGUCAGUCUAGUCUAUGCUGAAUGUUUCAGACCUGAAAGAGCUUCAAAGUGAAACACCAUCUCAUAAAUAAGUGAAUAAAUACGUAAAUUUAUAAAUUUCCAAUUAGUUCUAUUUUAAGUUUUUCUCUUUUCUUCUCUUUUCUCUCUCUCUCUCUCUCUCUCUCUCUCUCUCUUUCUCUCUCUCUUUUUCUCUCUCUCUCCCUUCCUUCCUUCCUUCCUUCCUUUGUUCCUCUCUCUUUCUCUCCCUCCCUCCCUCCCUCCC
rnacentral:lncRNA from 1 species